rnacentral:lncRNA from 1 species
CCACAGAAACAGCCAGAAAUGUGGAGCUGGGCGAUCGUAUGAGGCUGAGACAAAACUGUCUUUCUAGCGUCUCUAGGGGAGAGCUUGAAUCCCUCCUUCCACUCCUCCUCCACGGAAAACAGAGUGAACUCCUGCUACAGAGGCCGCCAGAGCAACAUGCAAGACCAGCUUUGAGGGGAGCGGGCACAGGGCCUUGCAGGGAAGGUGGGCCGAGCCCAGACCCCUCAUUCUUACUUGGCUCUGAAGGCGGAAAGGCAAAGCUAGACCUCGAGGAAGUUCCCCUCCCUGUGGGCCCUACAGUGAAGAUUACAUGAAGGCAUGUGGGCGGUGGACCAGAGUGCACCGACUGAUGAAGGCGGCCCGGUACCCGCGGGUGCCAUGCCUCCUUCUUAGCCAAGGCCACUCUAGCUCCCCGUGAAGUAUCCAGGUAGAAGGCUGGUGGGGUUACAGGAGUGUAUCUCUCUCAGAUGAGAUACAAGUUGGUCCCUUCCCUUGCGUCCCUCCUGUUCCUUCAAGAGGAGGACUGUCUACCCACCCCGAAGCUUCAUGGAGAGAGAGCACACCGUCGUUAUUCAAUAUGUAGUUUUGAAUUUAACUAGAGCAAAGAAGAAAGCAAAUUCAGGUGGAAGGAAGAAGAAAAGGGAAAAGGGCUGUCCCCAUCCUUCUAAGGAGAUGGUGCAGUGGCUCACCUUUGGGAGGCCGAGG